UACGGGGGGAGCAAGCGUUGUUCGGAUUUACUGGGCGUAAAGGGCGCGUAGGCGGCCUGUGCAAGUCAGUUGUGAAAUCUCCGAGCUUAACUCGGAACGGUCAACUGAUACUGCUCGGCUAGAGUGCGGAAGGGGCAACUGGAAUUCUUGGUGUAGCGGUGAAAUGCGUAGAUAUCAAGAGGAACACCUGCGGCGAAGGCGGGUUGCUGGGCCGACACUGACGCUGAUGCGCGAAAGCUAGGGGAGCGAAUGGG
rnacentral:rRNA from 1 species